UCCUACGGGAGGCAGCAGUGGGGAAUAUUGCACAAUGGGCGCAAGCCUGAUGCAGCCAUGCCGCGUGUGUGAAGAAGGCCUUCGGGUUGUAAAGCACUUUCAGCGAGGAGGAAGGUGGUGAGCUUAAUACGCUCAUCAAUUGACGUUACUCGCAGAAGAAGCACCGGCUAACUCCGUGCCAGCAGCCGCGGUAAUA
rnacentral:rRNA from 1 species